rnacentral:tRNA from 1 species
GGACGGUUAGCUCAGUUGGUAGAGCGUCUCGUUUACACCGAGAGGGUCGCGGGUUCAAGUCCUGCACCGUCCACUA